ACCAAUUUGAGUGAUAACACAUUUUCUUGUGGUUUGACUUGACAUUGUUCGGGCGAACCCAGGCUGGGAAUAGGAGUUCUCAUUAGAGCCGGAGGAGCGCUGAAAUACCUGCAUGCACGCCGAGCUCAGCGGGUUUCCCAGAAAACUCUGGCGUUCCCAGAGCUGAUCGGAACCCUUCUUCUGCUGUCAGUUUCGCAGGCACUGAGAUUCUAUUUUACAGGUUCAAGACAUCCUUUAGAUGCAGUUACUCAUUGGAUGAUUGGAGAUUUUGAGUAGGAAGAGAUUGAAAGUCCAUGUGGCUGUCUGUGUCCUAUUGUUAAAUCACUUUUGUGAAAAAAUAUUUAGAAGUAAGUUUUUUUGGAGACAAGUUAUAUGUGUGUAUGUAAAUAAAUA